AUGGACGCCGGCCCCGCCCCCGCGGUCCACUUCCUGUUUCCUGUAGCCUGUCCAGGGACAGACGUAAUGGUGGUCGCGGGGAAGUGUCCCUGCCGACUUCCGCUUCCGGUCACAAGAGGCUUCCGCUUUCCCACAUCCUGUUUCCGACUGGCGGCGCUUCCUCUUCCUGCCUGUUGCCAAGGCCUCUUGACAUGUCCUUGCUCCCUUAAGCUCUGGGCCUGGUGCGGACCCUGUUGGCUGCAAAGGUGCGAUGACGGGACUCCGGGGAGCCAGGCCGCAGACAACCGGGGCAGGAAACCUCGCCUGCCAAAGGUGCCUUUGAAAGGGAAAGUGCCCGGCAGCACCGCGGGGAAGGUUCGUGUCCGGGAAUCUGCAGCCCUGAGAGGACAGGUGGCAUUGGACUGCCAGGAAGAGCCCCAGGAAACGGCUGGAGAGCAAAUGGCACCGGGCCAAGGGCUGCAGUACUGGUUGUUCAACCUUUACCAGAACCUCACUGACUAGAUGAAGUGAUCAUUCUUUCCAUACCUCUGUGUUACCAGGUGCUGUUGAAGAUGAUGCUGCAAAAGAAAUUGAAAAAGAUCCUUACUUUAUCAACUUAAGUUGAUGAGCUUUGUUAUGGAUAUUUACACUUUUUUUCACUAGUUUUUCCCUCCUAACAGGUAAGUAAGUAGUAGAUGUUUCAUGGUUUGUUUGAAAAGGUAAGUCUCCAGCUCCCACUGGUAGCCAUGGCAUUGCCCGAGCCUGUGGUGA
ensembl:lncRNA